AUCAGAAUUGUUUCCUAAAUUCAUUAGAAAUAAACCCACGUUAACUGGCCAGAAUUGUUUCCCUAAUUUUCCUCCUUGCUUCCAAAACCCUUUCCCCAAAUAAUUCCCUUCUCACUUUGCCACUUUAGUUUAAUUGGCCAAACCUAAUUCCAAUUUUCUCACCCUCCAAAUUUCUUGUGUGUGAUAUAAUACUUUCUCCAGGAUUUUGCAAGAAAUUUUAUUCAACUCGUCAAAUUGCCACGAUUGGCUGCAAUCGAUUUUGCAAGAGGGAAUUAUUCAGCCACAAUUGGUUGUGAUAUAAUUCUUUCACCAGGACAUAAUAUUCAUCUUGGGUCAAAAAAAUUUCGACUGAAUCGACUACACAUUUUGAGCUCUUCAAGUUGUCUUCAAGAACUAGGAAGUCAGCUUUAGCUUCUUUGAAAUGUGGAAACAAAAGUGCAGCCCUGAGAUGUGCAAAAGAACUAAAGCUGACAUCUCAGAGUCAAGAUAAAUGCGUAAACCUUUUGGACCAAGUUGAAGAAGUUCUCAGAGUUAUCUUUGACGCAAAGUCCUGUAAUAAGGUUUUUGAGGCUAUCCAAAUAAGUACACAUGCAUUGAAGGAUAAUCAGACAACUGUUGAAGAAGUUAGUCUGUGUCUUUAGCAUCUUGAUGAGAGCAUUGAUUCUGUGAAGCAAGUGGACAAAGUUUUAGGAUGAGAUGCUUGUAAAAGAGUAUGAAUAUCUUGUACAGAAGGCAAAGGAACACAAACUUCUCGAAGAUAUCCCUUUGGAGGAGAUAUCAGUAGAUGAUCCUGAUGCUAGAAUUCAUAUCAUAAUAUUUGUUCUAGGUACGAAGUCUGGACGUCAAAUUCAUGGGUUGGGAGAUGGUCACCUUAGAGACAUUCGCACAUCUUUUAAUGUACAUAAUUUGGAGAAAGAGUUAGAAAUAGAACGCGCUGUUUGAAAGGCAGCUAAUGCAACUCUAGUGAAGAUUGAGCAAAGGAUGCAAAAUAAGAUGAAGGUUGUUCAGAAACAAUUCAAUUCUACAUUGCAAUUUUGGCAUCAUUCUAUGCACUAGAUAAGUGGUAAAGUUCCUGGCUUUGUUGUGCCCCAAUUUACGCCAUUAUCAAUAGAAAAUAAUGCUGAUGAGGAAGAUGAUACUAUUGAGGAUGAAGAGAAUAAAUUUGGUGAUGAUAAAUCGCAUAUCUAAUUCAUGAGGAUGAAGAGUUAUUUUGUUAGGUGCAUAUAAUAAUAGAUAUAGAGAGUGUUUGCUAUACUCAUUACUCUUUUUAAGUUUAGAUUUAAUCAUACUUGGUGAAUGAAUUUUAUUUGUGUUUUGAUAAAAUAUUUUGGAUUCAAUGUUAUAUUGAUUGACA